UCCGUUGUAGUCUAGCUGGUUAGGAUACUCGUCCCUCACCUGAGAGACCCGGGUUCGAGUGCCGGCAACGGGG
rfam:Oryza meridionalis cultivar OR44 (W2112) chromosome 8, whole genome shotgun sequence.